GCCUACGACCAUAUCACCCAGAAUGCGCCAGAUCUCGUCUGAUCUCGGAAGCUAAGCAUGGUCGAGCCUGGUUAGUACUUGGAUGGGAGACU
rnacentral:rRNA from 1 species